rnacentral:lncRNA from 1 species
UCCUUGGACUUAACUUGCUUCAUUGCCCCAAAAGAGAUGAGCUUUUGGGCAGAGCAGAGAAAAAUCUUUUCUGUUUCAGGUUCUUCUGGGAAGAACAAAAAGCAAACAUUAUCCAGCAUAAAAGGACCUGAGAACCAAAACCAUACUCACAUGAGCUUUCACUCCCGCUACAAAGCAUCUUGGCUAUGCUCAGCUAAGGCAGCCACAGCUGGAAGACUGGGGAACUUCAAAACUCCUGCUUUAAUCAGAGCCCUUACAAGGAGAAGAGAGCAGAAGGUGUCAAAGUAAAACAGCUGCAUAUCUUCCAAGAAAAGCUCGUGUUUUCCAAAGGAAUUCAAGCGGAGGUGCUUUAUUAAGAGAAC